rnacentral:rRNA from 1 species
UGGCUCAGGAUGAACGCUAGCUACAGGCUUAACACAUGCAAGUCGAGGGGCAUCAUGGAGUUGCUUGCAAACUCUGAUGGCGACCGGCGCACGGGUGAGUAACGCGUAUCCAACCUUCCCUAUAGUAGAGGAUAGCCCGGCGAAAGUCGGAUUAAUACUCUAUGUUUUCCGUUGCAGACAUCUAAGAUGGAACAAAGGCUUGCCGCUAUAGGAUGGGGAUGCGUCUGAUUAGGUAGUCGGCGGGGUAACGGCCCACCGAGCCAUCGAUCAGUAGGGGUUCUGAGAGGAAGGUCCCCCACAUUGGAACUGAGACACGGUCCAAACUCCUACGGGAGGCAGCAGUGAGGAAUAUUGGUCAAUGGGCGAGAGCCUGAACCAGCCAAGUAGCGUGCAGGACGACGGCCCUAUGGGUUGUAAACUGCUUUUAUGCGGGGAUAAAGUUCACUACGUGUAGUGUUUUGUAGGUACCGCAUGAAUAAGGACCGGCUAAUUCCGUGCCAGCAGCAGC